rnacentral:rRNA from 1 species
GAUUAUGGAGCUUGCUUUAUAUAACUUAGCAGCGAACGGGUGAGUAACACGUAGAUAAUCUAUCCUAUACUGGGGGAUAGCCCGAUGAAAGUUGGAUUAAUACCGCAUAUAGCUAUAUAGUUGCAUGGUUAUGUAGUGAAAGAUUUAUUGGUAUAGGAGGAGUCUGCGGCACAUUAGCUAGUAGGUGAGGUAAAGGCUUACCUAGGCGACGAUGUGUAGCCGGUCUGAGAGGAUGAACGGCCACAAUGGAACUGAGACACGGUCCAUACUCCUACGGGAGGCAGCAGUGGGGAAUAUUGCACAAUGGGGGAAACCCUGAUGCAGCAACGCCGCGUGAGUGAAGAAGGUUUUCGGAUUGUAAAGCUCUGUUAGCAGGGAAGAGGAAGGACGGUACCUGCAGAGGAAGCCACGGCUAACUACGUGCCAGCAGCCGCGGUAAUACGUAGGUGGCAAGCGUUGUUCGGAAUAACUGGGCGUAAAGGAUGCGUAGGCGGUUAAACAAGUUAUAUGUUAAAUAUAUAGGCUUAACCUGUAGAAAGCAUAUAAAACUGUUUAACUAGAGUGCAGGAGAGGUAAGUGGAAUUCCUAGUGUAGCGGUGAAAUGCGUAGAGAUUAGGAAGAACACCAGUGGCGAAGGCGACUUACUGGACUGUAACUGACGCUGAGGCAUGAGAGCAUGGGGAGCAAACAGGAUUAGAUACCCUGGUAGUCCAUGCUNGUAACGAUGGGUACUAGGUGUGGGUUGNGAAUA